GCUGGUAUAGUGUAGUGGUCCAUCAUGACGGGUUCUCGAUCCGUCGACCCGGGUUCAAAUCCCGGUACUAGCACCA
rnacentral:tRNA from 1 species